CUAAGGAUAAUCGGAAAGCGACAGGGACUUAAGUGUCAAUUUGUUUGUUUCAAAGUUUUGUUUAGUUUUGAGUGUGAUACUUUAAUAGGUAUCAUGGUCUCAAAGUGAUCCUAUGGGGAAUUAGCUCAGCUGGGAGAGCACCUGCUUUGCAAGCAGGGGGUCAGCGGUUCGAUCCCGCUAUUCUCCAUAGCUAGUCGAAAGGCUAGCAUGUUGUACAUUGAAAACUGAAUAGUAACAAAUUCUUUUAAAAGCAAUCGUAAGAUUCGACUAAAAUGAACCGAGAAACAACACAAAAAGUUCUUUAAAAAGAACGGUUUAAUCGCAGGUCUGAAAAAUGACCAACUCAUAAAACUUAAACCACAACUUCGGUUGUAUA
rnacentral:tRNA from 2 species